GGUUGCGUAGUCUAGUGGUUAUGACCCUGGAUUGUAAGUAAUACUGAACCACCUACAUGUGGAGAAAUACUAAUCGUCACAGCUGAUUGUCAAUAUCACAAUUCCAGUAGCCCCGGUUCGAUCCCGGGCGCGACCU